AAUAUAUGACCAUUCUGUAUCUAGACGGCGAGACAUUUUGUUUCAAUAACGUGAUUGUAGCUAUUAUCUGUAUUUCUAAUAAGCGGCUUCUACUGCAUUUACGACCGACUCAGAUUUUCUACUAAUAGAUAAUUUUGAAGAAAAUGUAUUAAAAAAAUGUAAUGUUGCUUUAUUUUGAACUUAGUAUACUAUCUAGUAUACCCAUACAAAUAU